UUUCCCUAGUUAGUACCCAUGCAGGCCUAUAUUGGUAUCCACUAUUGUUUUGUGCCUAAUCUGAGUUAUGAUUCUACACAUGACACCGCAACCAAUGUUCAGACCCGACUCCGCGAGAUCUGAAGCCUGCUGCAGUGCUGCGAGAAGAGGCGAGAGCUGCAAGGUUCAACUCCCUUCUCCGCCUGAGUUCCGACGCCACCACCAGCGCGGCAGCGCCACCGGCCACAACUCAGAAGUCUGCCUCAAAUCUCAACUUCAAGGUGUUUUCAACUUCCCAUGCAGCAGAAGAGAUGAUUGAUAGAAAGGUGUAUUCUAAUGCUGACUUCCUAAGAAGAGAAUGCACAAUUGAAACCAGUGGAGAUUGUCUGUUUCUUGAGAAAAUAAUGAUGAAUGAUUGGUUUCUUGUACUUAUGACAAUGUUUUUAUCAUAUCUAGGCAGAUGUAGCUCAAUUAAUUACCAAGGCACUUCUUAUACUUAUGACAAUGUUUUUAUCAUAUCUAGGCAGAUGUAGCUCCAUUAAUUACCAAGGCACUUCUUAUCUUAUUUCCCUGUAGUGUGUCAUUCUCCUGAGUUGAAAUGAUGAUGAUUGGAUAAAGUUGCAGUUUAA